rnacentral:rRNA from 1 species
AGACUUGUUUCCUGAAUGUCUUUUGAUGAAUUUCAGGAUGGCCCGGCCGGUCUGCCGCAAGGUAUGUUACUGGCCGAGCUGUUCUUCUUCGCAAACACCGAGUGUGCUCUUAACUGAAUGUGCUCACGAUCUGUGACAUUUACUUUCAAAAAAAUAAAGUGUUCAAAGCAAGCCAGCGCUUGAAUACGUAAGCAUGGAACAACGGAAUAGGACUUUGCUUCUAUUUUGUUGGUUUCUGGAAGCUUAUAAUGAUUAAGAAAGACAAUUGGGGGCAUUCGUAUUUUCGUUAUCAUAUGGGAAAUUCUUGGAUUUACGAAAUACGAACUACUGCGCAAGCCAUUGCCAAUAAUGU